rnacentral:rRNA from 1 species
UACAGAGGUCUCAAGCGUUGUUCGGAUUCAUUGGGCGUAAAGGGUGUGUAGGUGGCGCGCUAAGUCGGGUGUGAAAUUUCGGAGCUUAACUCCGAAACUGCAUUCGAUACUGGCGUGCUUGAGGACUGGAGAGGAGACUGGAAUUUACGGUGUAGCAGUGAAAUGCGUAGAUAUCGGGAGGAACACCAGUGGCGAAGGCGGACCUUCUGGCUCAUAACUGACGCUGUAGCGCGAAAGCGUGGGGAGCGAACCGG